AGCCUGAUGCAGCCAUGCCGCGUGUGUGAAGAAGGCCUUCGGGUUGUAAAGCACUUUCAGUUGGGAGGAAGGGCAUUAAGUUAAUACCUUGGUGUUUUGACGUUACCCACAGAAUAAGCACCGGCUAACUUCGUGCCAGCACCGCGGUAAUACA
rnacentral:rRNA from 1 species